rnacentral:lncRNA from 1 species
UGAACUGAAACCAUUUUAUUAGUGAGACUGCAUAAUGGCUUCUUCUAUGAUGAUUAUUCCCCCUAAUAAUCCCUUUCUUACAUCUGCAAGCAUGAUUCAUGGAAGUGUGUAGCUAUUUGUUAAAGAUACCAUAUGCUGUUAAUUUCUUGAAGGGAUUGUCUUUGUGGCACAGGCAGGGUGUUUUCUGUUGUUCUGUUUCUUUUUUUUUUUUUUUUUUGUGCAUCAGGCACAUUAUUACCCUUUAUUGUAUACAGCUCCCUUUGUCUGACAUGCAGAGUCUGUUCUGGAGGGGAUAGGUUAGCUACUGCUUAUUCAGUUUGGAACCCGAUUAAUGACAGGUUUUCCUCGCUGCUGUAGAUGAAUCCUGAAAAUGGUCAGCCUCCCCAUGAACCAACAUGAAAUACAGUGAACGGGGCAUGCCGAAGAUGGAGAGGAGAAUUAAUUGCAUCAGAUCACAAAAGAGCCAACAGCAAAGGGCACAGGAACAGAAGCUGCAGCUAUCAUUGAGAUUAAGGAACAAAGACAUGUGCAAAUAGUCAAAAAAUGCUUUGUGCAAGACCUGAGGCACUCAUUAAGGGACCAGUAAAACCGUUAGCUCUUCUAGUGAGGAGAUCCACAAAGGAGACUCGGUGCCACAACUCUGAGAGAGCUAAAGUUUCCUGAGGGAAUUUCAUCCUGCAGCUCCCACCUCCCAAAUGAAUUCCCCAUCUCAGGACUACAGGCUGCUCAGAGGCUCCUACACUACACCUCCUUCCAGCUCCUGAUACAAGAUGCUUUUGAAAAGAAAAGGAGACAUGUCCUCGUGGUCUUUAGAUGCCAGAACAACCCCUGGAAUCAUGGCAAUUUCUAGCAAACACACUGCCUGCUGAAAAACAAGUGAGACUGGUUGAUCUGUCCUACGUGAAGCUUGUAUUGCUCUGGUUUGAUUCAAAAUGGUGGGAUGCCAACUGUGAGAAUGAAAAUCAGCAUCCAUUCAGACAUGAUUUCUUUGAUGCAAUAGAAAUUCAUGGUUUGUGGAACUAGAUGCAGGAAUCUUUAGUGCUCUGCAGUCAUCAACCCAAC